GGUGAUCCAAGAGUUGUAAGUCCUUACAAAAUGGAAUUUUUGCUAAAGUGGGGCAUCAACCUUCAAACACCGUUCAUGUCCCCUGAGAGUAAAGAUCGAUAAUAAAAAGGUGCCAUAAGACUUGUAAGUCCUUGGCAAGUGAACCUUCUCCUACACUGGGGUACCGACAUUUAGGUAUCUUACACAACCUCCGAGUGUCGAGGCCGGAAGACAUAGACACUCUAAGAGUUAUGGUACGAGUUGUUGAAUAAUAAUGUCUAGAUGUUAUUUAUUUAAGUAUUUUGAUGAGGAUAAAUAGUUUAACAGGGUAUUCUCUCUGCUCAUGUGUAUCCCUCCUUACCUUUUCACAAAGGAAACCAAGGUCAAGUUUUACUUCGCGUCGGCCGAACUUCCCUGUUUUAUUCGCACAAUCUUUAUAGUUCAACCAAUCUUAGUCUGGCAUUUAUUUUUCUACCACAACCUUCCCUCCUUGACGUUGUUGGCUAGUGGUUACGCUUACGUUGACUUCUUCACUUUCGAUUUCCCAGAUCAAUUAAUUUUAGGAUGUCGUGAUCACUUGCUUAGGCAGUUUUGGUUUGAUCAUUCUCCCUUUACAGUGCGGGCUUCCAUAUUUUCACUCCUUCAUCCAUAACUUCUGAAUGUGAAAGAGAGGUCGUUGUUCUAACAUGGCAUACAAGUGAAGAGCUGUGGAAUAAGAAGUUAACCGAAGUUAAAGUUGGUUCAACAAACUCUUAAUAAUGGAAUUCUAAGGAGAAUUUCAUUUUAUUUUUCUGCCAUCAACUAAAUCUCUUAAGGUAAACAACAACACUGUUGGUGAAGUUCAGUCCAAUUUUUGUGAUGAUAUGUUAGCCAAAGUAACACUAUCCCUUUCGGUUUUUUCUCAAGAAGAAUAUAACAAAUGUCAACCUUGAGGACAAGGUUCUCUUGAAGGUGUGUGUAUUGAUAAAAAUAUAUCAAAUAAAGGGGAGUUAGAGUAGUUAAAGUAGUUAUGAGUUGUUAGAGUAGUUAGUAAAUUAGUUAGCUAGGUUUAUAGCUAGGUUUAGUUUGUUAUUUAGAGUUCUAUUUGGCUUAUGUUUUCUAUUGUAUUUUCUGUUAUAUGUAAGUAGUUGGCUUGCUAUGGAUCAUUACACAUCAUCCUUAUCUCUUUGGUACAAAAGGUCUAUAAAUAUAACCUUCUUCUCUUAGAAAUUGAUCUUUGGCAUAUAUCUUAGUUGUAAUUGGUUUUAUAACCAAUAUAGGAGAGUCUGCUCUCUUGUUUUUUCUUAUUUCCUAGUAAAAAAAAUUAUUUUUCAUUGGAAUCCAAUUCUUGGGGUUCAUAACAUUGUGUUUUUUUUUUUUUUAAGAAGC
rnacentral:lncRNA from 1 species